rnacentral:lncRNA from 1 species
AAUGGACCAAGACAGGCCAGGACCUCCCAAGCGAACCCUGCCCACGACUAAGUUGGUGACUCUCCCAUUCUUCUCAAGCUCAGCCCAGAAGCACCAGGCCAAGGGCUGCCCCAAAUGCCCCAGGAGAGCCCUGGCCCUCCUCCUCACCUGGGGACUGUGACCAGAGCCACAGCAGCACCUUGCGUGUCAACAGCACUCAACAGUUUUCAGAGCAUACUGGCAGCUUCACAGUAUGACCCAGUGAGGAAGGAGGAGUGGGGUGUCACCUCCAUCUACACAGUGAGUGUGACAUGGGCCUCUGUGACCCAAGCUGAGGACUAACCCACCGCUCAUAACACGGUUUCUACGGGAAAACCAAGUUGUGAAUUUUGAAUUAUCAGCCCACUGAGGGUGGAAGUCCAAGAUCUGUGGUGAUUUGGGUGCUGAUGCAAGCCAGAAGUCACAGCCCAGAGCCUGCAGCGGCUGCACUGCUGGGUCCCCAGUCCUCGAUGGGCACCAGCCAACCUGCCCUCUCGACCCUCCACAGCAACUCAGGCCCCCACUCCAUGGCUCCCCUGCACCAUCCUCAUGCCUGGUCAACUCUUGCUGCCAGUUGCUGUGAGACCCAGCUCACCACUGGGCAAACAGAGCUUGCAAAAUGCAGCCCAUGCUCACCAUUCAUGGAUUCCAUAUGUACAAAUUCACCUACCUGCGAAAUUGUAUCUGUAACCCCAAAAUCAAUACUGGCUGCACUUUUGGGGUCAUUCUCGGACACACACAGAGUGGGGAAGAAUGAGGGCUGCUCAACACGCACAUUCCCAGCGGGGGUGGAACAAGGCCCGCUCAGCCUGCUGGCUUCAGCUCCCACAAUGCAAACAAGUGUCCUUUUCGCAGGCUAUUUGGUGCCACAUUUUUCAUGCUUUUGUGCUUUGUGUUGGUGAUUUCACUGUUUAAAAUGUCCCCUAAGCAUAUUCGAAGCAACCUGGAUGAGACUGGAGACUAUUAUUCUAAGUGAAGUAACUCAGGAAUGGAAAACCAAACAUUGUCUGUUCUCACUCAUAAGUGAGAGCUAAGCUAUGAGGAUGCAAAGGCAUAAGAAUGACACAAUGGACUUUGGGGACUCAGGGAGAAAGAGUGGGAAGGGGGUGAGGGAUAAAAGACUACAAACUGGGUUCAGUGUAUGCUUCCCAGGUGAUGAGUGCACCAAAAUCUCACAAAUCACCACUAAAGAACUGACUCAUGUAACCAAAUGCCACCUGUUCCCCAAUAACCUAUGAAAAUAAAAAAAAAAAUUAAUGUCCCCC